GAGUUCUGUGGGCAUCUUCAGGCAUUGAGAAGUCCUUAGCUGUCACUGUGAGUCAGACAGACGAGAGUUCCAUGGGCAUCUUCAGCCAUUCAGAAGUCCUUAGCUAUCACUGUGAGUCAAACAGAGAGCUGUGUGAGAGUUCUGUGUGAUGCGAUGAUGUGUGUGGACGUCACUUAAAAGUGUCUGUCUGGCUGCUGAGUUAAGAACAGACUGCUUUGGAGCAAGGGUGAAAUCAUGAGACCAAUGAGGAUGCUUUUGCCUAAUUUGGGCGAGAAAGAGUGGUUUGAACAGGUCCAUGAUGUCUAGCACACCCAGAGUAGCUCCCUGGGGAUUGUCUGCUGCUGAGACUCACAAAUAGAAGAAGGAUAUUCCGAAAAAGUCCAUGAAUAAGAUGUGCUCAUGCUUUGAAGCACACUUUCUGCUCUCUCUCUCAUAUGCCACCAUCAAGCAUCUAUAACAGGAGGAUAAGAAUGCAGUUAUAGAAGGUUGCAGGUUGCUGUCAGGGAAAAAUAUAUCCAGGCUUGAACAAUGGAUAUGCGCAUCCAUCCCUAGGGAGCAUGGACACGUGACCAUUACUUGGGUGAAACAGAACUGUCUAAACAGAAUUUCGGCAGGAGAGGUAAAAGUGCAACUUGAAAUAUUCUUGCUAUCCGGCCAGGUGCGGUGGCUCAAGCCUGUAAUCCCAGCACUUUGGGAGGCUGAGGAGGGUGGAUCACGAGGUCAAGAGAUCGAGAUCAUCCUGGCCAACAUGGUGAAACCCUGUCUCUACUAAUUUUUUGGUAUUUUGUAAAAAUACAAAAAAUUAUCUGGGCAUGGUGGCGCGUGCCUGUAAUCCCAGCUACUCAGGAGGCUGAGGCAGGAGAAUUGCCUGAACACAGGAGGUGGAGGUUGCGGUGAGCCAAGAUCGUGCCAUUGCACUCCAGCCUGGGUAACAAGAGCGAAACUCCGUCACACACACACACACACACACACACACACACAAAGAAAUAUUCUUGCGAUCUAAACACCAGUCUCUAAAGGUUGAAGAACAGAAUAGAAGUAGAACAUUUCUUAAACCCACCUGCUCCUCAGAUCAGCACAGUCAGCUAAGCGAUUCAUUGCUAAUGGCAUGUUAGAGUCAUUAAAUAUUUGACGUAU
rnacentral:lncRNA from 1 species